UACAGAGGGUGCGAGCGUUAAUCGGAGUUACUGGGCGUAAAGGGCGCGUAGGCGGUUAUAUAAGUGAGAUGUGAAAUCCCUGGGCUUAACCUAGGAACUGCAUCUCAUACUGUAUGACUGGAGUAUUGUAGAGGGUAGUGGAAUUUCCGGUGUAGCGGUGAAAUGCGUAGAGAUCGGAAGGAACACCAGUGGCGAAGGCGGCU
rnacentral:rRNA from 1 species